CCUAAGGCGAGGCCGACAGGCGUAGUCGAUGGACAACGGGUUGAUAUUCCCGUACCCGCUGGUAUGCGCCAACGCUGAACCCUCUGAUGCUAACCACCCGAACUGCUGCGUGGGCCUUCGGGCCUGUGUGGUGGGGAGCGUGGGACCCGAGGGGGUAGUAGGUGAGUGAUGGGGUGACGCAGGAGGGUAGCUCAGCCCGGGCGGUGGUUGUCCCGGGGUAAGGCUGUAGGGAGAGAGACAGGUAAAUCCGUCUCUCGCGUAUCCUGAGAGCUGAUGCCGAGCCGUUUUAGGUGAAGUGAGUGAUCCCAUGCUGUCGAGAAAAGCCUCUAGCGAGUGUACUGGCGGCCCGUACCCUAAACCGACUCAGGUGGUCAGGUAGAGAAUACCAAGGCGAUCGGGUGAACUGUGGUUAAGGAACUCGGCAAAUUGCCCCCGUAACUUUGGGAGAAGGGGGACCACGCCCGGUGAAAGGACUAGCUCCUGGAGCUGGGUGGGGUCGCAGAGGCCAGGGGGAAGCGACUGUUUACUAAAAACACAGGUCCGUGCGAAGUCGUAAGACGCUGUAUACGGACUGACGCCUGCCCGGUGCCGGAACGUUAAGAGGACCGGUUAGAUGCCUUCGGGUGUCGAAGCUGAGAAUCUAAGCGCCGGUAAACGGCGGUGGUAACUAUAACCAUCCUAAGGUAGCGAAAUUCCUUGUCGGGUAAGUUCCGACCUGCACGAAUGGCGUAACGACUUCCCCGCUGUCUCAACCACAGGCCCGGCGAAAUUGCAGUACGAGUAAAGAUGCUCGUUUCGCGCAGCAGGACGGAAAGACCCCGGGACCUUCACUACAGCUUGGCAUUGGCGCUUGGAGCGUCUUGUGUAGGAUAGGUGGGAGACUGUGAAGCCGGCACGCCAGUGUCGGUGGAGUCGUUGGUGAAAUACCACUCUGGUCGUUUUGAGCGUCUAACCCGCACCCGUGUAUCCGGGUGGGGGACAGUGCCUGGUGGGUAGUUUAACUGGGGCGGUUGCCUCCUAAAGUGUAACGGAGGCGCCCAAAGGUUCCCUCAGCCUGGUUGGCAAUCAGGUGGCGAGUGCAAGGGCACAAGGGAGCUUGACUGUGAGACGGACGUGUCGAGCAGGUGCGAAAGCAGGGCCUAGUGAUCCGGCACCUACGUGUGGAAGUGGUGUCGCUCAACGGCUAAAAGGUACCCCGGGGAUAACAGGCUGAUCUUCCCCAAGAGUCCAUAUCGACGGGAUGGUUUGGCACCUCGAUGUCGGCUCGUCGCAUCCUGGGGCUGGAGUAGGUCCCAAGGGUUGGGCUGUUCGCCCAUUAAAGCGGCACGCGAGCUGGGUUUAGAACGUCGCGAGACAGUUCGGUCCCUAUCCGCUGCGCGCGUAGGAGAAUUGUGAGGGUCUGUCCCUAGUACGAGAGGACCGGGACGGACGGACCUCUGGUGUGCCAGUUGUCCCGCCAGGGGCACGGCUGGUUGGCUACGUUCGGUCGGGAUAACCGCUGAAAGCAUCUAAGCGGGAAGCCUUCCUCGAGAUGAGUUCU
rnacentral:rRNA from 1 species